rnacentral:rRNA from 1 species
GCGUCUAACAUGCAGUCGAACGAGGGAGCAAUCCCUAGUUGGCGAACGGCGGAGUAAUACAUGAGCAACGUGCCUUGAAGUUCGGGACAAACGCAGAAAUGCCAUAAAUACCGGAUGUGACCAGACCCUCGCAUGGGGGACUGAUUAAAUGCUUUUAGCUUCAAGAGCGGCUCAUGGCCUAUCAGGUAGUUGGUGGGGUAAUGGCCUACCAAGCCGACGACAGGUAGCGGGUCUGAGAGGAUGAUCUGCUCGAGUGGGACUGAGACACGGCCCACACACCUACGGGUGGCAGCAGUUGGGAAUCUUGCACAAUGGGGGAAACCCUGAUGCAGCGACGCCGCGUGAAGGACGAAGGAUCUAGGUCUGUAAACUUCUUUUUUCGGGAAAGACUUAGGACGGUACCCGAAGAAUAAGCACCGGCUAACUACGUGCCAGCAGCCGCGGUAAGACGUAGGGUGCAAGCGUUGUCCGGAAUUACUGGGCGUAAAGGGCGCGUAGGCGGCCUGUUAAGUGUAUAGUGAAAGCCCGGGGCUCAACCCCGGAACUGCUGUGCAUACUGGCAGGCUUGAGGGAUGCAGAGGCUUGUGGAAUUCCUGGUGUAGCGGUGAAAUGCGUUGAUAUCAGGAGGAACACCCAUGGCGAAGGCAGCAAGCUGGGCAUCAUCUGACGCUGAGGCGCGAAAGCGUAGGGAGCAAACAGGAUUAGAUACCCUGGUAGUCCACGCCCUAAACGAUGGAUACUAGACGUAAGAGGUAUCGACCCCUCUUGUGUCGCAGCUAACGCACUAAGUAUC